GGUAUAGCUCAAUUGGUAGUACCGCUGCACUGUAGUUCCAGGGUCCUGGGUUCAAGCCCAGUUG
rnacentral:tRNA from 16 species